AUACGUAGGGAGCGAGCGUUGUCCGGAAUUACUGGGUGUAAAGGGAGCGUAGGCGGGACUGCAAGUCAGAUGUGAAAUACCGGGGCUUAACCCCGGAGCUGCAUUUGAAACUGUGGUUCUUGAGUGAAGUAGAGGCAAGCGGAAUUCCUGGUGUAGCGGUGAAAUGCGUAGAGAUCGGGAGGAACACCAGUGGCGAAGGCGGGUAACUGGACUGCAACUGACGCUGAGGCGCGAAAGUGUGGGGAGCAAACAGGAUUAGAUACCCUGGUAGUCCACACUGUAAACGAUGAAUGCUAGGUGUAGGAGGUAUCGACCCCUUCUGUGCCGCAGUAAACACAGUAAGCAUUCCGCCUGGGGAGUACGGUCGCAAGAUUAAAACUCAAAUGAAUUGACGGGG
rnacentral:rRNA from 1 species